rnacentral:lncRNA from 1 species
GGCUCCAGGAGGUUCACCAUGACCAGGAGAAGCACACUGCUUUGUUGUAGUUUCUGCUGUAAGUUGGCUUACUCGAAAUCAGCGCCAGCAGGAGACAAAAGCUGGAUGUUUGAGCUGGUCUUCCUGGAGAAGUAAGCUCUAAGCCAGUGAAGGAAUGGACUUGGCAGUGAGAGAGAGACCAAGCAAGCUUCUUCUUCCGUGCCCUCUAGAAACGCUGCCAGUGGAAGUUACACUGUAACCAUGUGACUGCAUAGGGCCGUGGACCACAGCUACAGUCUGGGAGAGAAAGGAAGUAGGACUCUACAACUGCUACAGGGAUGGAAAAUGAAACCUUGAUAACGAAAUGGGGUAAGCAAUGGUUUA